rnacentral:rRNA from 1 species
AUUGAACGCUGGCGGCAUGCCUUACACAUGCAAGUCGAACGGUAACGGGCCUUCGGGUGCCGACGAGUGGGGAACGGGUGAGUAAUGCAUCGGAACGUACCUUUCAGUGGGGGAUAACGUAGCGAAAGUUACGCUAAUACCGCAUAUUCUGUGAGCAGGAAAUCAGGGGAUCGCAAGACCUUGCGCUGAUUGAGCGGCCGAUGUCAGAUUAGCGAGUUGGUGAGGUAAAGGCUCACCAAGGCGACGAUCUGUAGCGGGUCUGAGAGGAUGAUCCGCCACACUGGAACUGAGACACGGUCCAGACUCCUACGGGAGGCAGCAGUGGGGAAUUUUGGACAAUGGGGGCAACCCUGAUCCAGCCAUGCCGCGUGAGUGAAGAAGGCCUUCGGGUUGUAAAGCUCUUUCGGCCGGGAAGAAAUCGCACGGGCUAAUACCCUGUGUGGAUGACGGUACCGGAAUAAGAAGCACCGGCUAACUACGUGCCAGCAGCCGCCGUAAUAC